GCACCGUGUCUACCUUCAUGCUGCCUUGCUUCCAGCCAUGAUGAUGAUGAACUAAACCUCUGAGACUGAUUCCAGUGUAGACUGAAGACCAGCAGCUCUCCAGGAAUCCGUAAGGCCUUCAGUACCAGAUUGGAAUUGCUGAGACACUGGGACAGCCUCUUGGACAAAGAAAUAUCAGGGAUAAGAACGGAAACAUGGGUGUAGACCGGUGACCGCCAUUUCUUCUCUCCCUUGCUGGUGUCCUGGGCUCCAGUGGAAGUUUGGAGGGCGUCUCUUCAGUUUGCGAUGCCAGUGCAGACCACACCUAAAACGGAGAACACAGUUUGGUAAAAAAGAC